rnacentral:rRNA from 1 species
GACGAACCGUGCGAACGUUGUUCGGAUUCACUGGGCUUAAAGGGCGCGUAGGCGGAUUCGCAAGUCCGGGGUGAAAUCUUUCGGCUCAACCGGAAAAGUGCCUUGGAUACUGCGAGUCUCGAGGGAGGUAGGGGCCGCGGGAACUUCCGGUGGAGCGGUGAAAUGCGUUGAUAUCGGAAGGAACGCCGGUGGCGAAAGCGCGCGGCUGGAUCUCCUCUGACGCUGAGGCGCGAAAGCUAGGGGAGCAAACGGG